GGGAGUAUAGCUCAGUGGUAGAGCGUUCGACUGAAGAUCGAGAGGUCCCCGGUUCGAACCCUUGUAUUUUCU
rnacentral:tRNA from 1 species